GACGAACGCUGGCGGCGUGCCUAAUACAUGCAAGUCGAGCGAACAGACGAUGAGUUUGCUCCUCUGACGUUAGCGGCGGACGGGUGAGUAACACGUGGAUAACCUACCUAUAAGACUGGGAUAACUUAGGGAAACCGGAGCUAAUACCGGAUAAUAUAUUGAACCGUAUGGUUCAAUAGUGAAAGUCGGUUUUGCUGUAACUUAUAGAUGGAUCCGCGCCGCAUUAGCUAGUUGGUAAGGUAACGGCUUACCAAGGCGACGAUGCGUAGCCGACCUGAGAGGGUGGUCGGCCGCACUGGAGCUGAGACAGGGUCCAGACUCCUACGAGAGGCAGCAGUAGAGAAUCUUCCGCAGUGGGGGAGAGUGUGACGGAGCAGCGCGGCGUGUGUAAUGAAGGUGUUCGGAUCGUGACGCUCUGUUAGUAGUGAAGAACAAAUGUGUAAGUAACUGUGCACGUCUUGACGGUACCGAAUCAGGAAGCCACGGCUAACUACGUG
rnacentral:rRNA from 1 species